AGCAAGGAAACGUCUAAGCUCUAGGGCCCACGUCAGGAACGCUUUUAGCUUGGCAGAGAAUAAUCAGAACUUCAGAUGCCGGCCCACCCCUACCCUCCCGUCCUCUGUGGCUGUGCCAGGCCCCAAUACUGGCCCAUUUCUCUCAUGCUGAACAUCUCUUCUCAGUAUCUCAGCAACAGCGAAACCAUGAAAUCCCCUCAGAACCGAAACAAAAGGAUCCGGAAAGAGUAGAAAACAUGGAGAGUGAGAGCAGGAACCGUCGGUCAUAGAGCCAGGAAAAGGAGUCUGACCUAGAGGACCAGGAAGAACAUCUCCAGAUACCAGGACAAUAUGUCCUUUCCUGAGCUCCGCCAGCACUUACAGCAUACACUUCUGCACACGUCACGAGGUCUCUCUCGCAGCAGCGGUGAGACCCCGAGGUUGGAGAUCGAAACCAGGCCAUCCGAAGAGAACUACUCAUCAUGCAGGCACACAUUCUGGCCCUGCUGGACAAUGUCCAAAAUUUGUUACAUUUAUUUUGAUUUUGUUAAAUAUCAUUAUUAUGUUAUUUUUAUUUAUGGUUAUUAUGAAAAGUAAACUUUCAAAACUUA